GGAUGGCCCUGUUGCAGGACUAAAGACCGCUUUCUAAUCCAUUGAUCUUCGGAUUAAUAUUCAUAACAUCUGGCCUCAAAUCAGGUAGGACUACCCGCUGAACUUAAGCAUAUCAAUAAGCGGAGGAAAAGAAACUAACAAGGAUUCCCCUAGUAACGGCGAGUGAAGCGGGAAGAGCUCAAAUUUGAAAUCUGGUAGCCUUCGGUUGCCCGAGUUGUAAUCUAGAGAAGUGUUUUCCGCGUUGGCCCAUGUACAAGUCCCUUGGAACAGGGCGUCAUAGAGGGUGAGAAUCCCGUCCUUGACAUGGACCCCCAAUGCUUUGUGAUACACUUUCAACGAGUCGAGUUGUUUGGGAAUGCAGCUCAAAAUGGGUGGUGAAUUCCAUCUAAAGCUAAAUAUUGGCGAGAGACCGAUAGCGAACAAGUACCGUGAGGGAAAGAUGAAAAGCACUUUGGAAAGAGAGUUAAACAGUACGUGAAAUUGUUGAAAGGGAAACGAUUGAAGUCAGUCAUGCUCUUUGGAUUAAGCCGUUCUGCGGUGUAUUUCAUUGAGCGGGGUCAACAUCAGUUUUGAUCGCUGGAAAAGGGCAGGAGGAAGGUAGCACUCUCGGGUGAACUUAUAGCCUCUUGUCGUAUACAGUGAUUGGGACUGAGGAACGCAGCAUGCCUUUUGGCCGGGAUUCGUCCACGUACAUGCUUAGGAUGUGAC
rnacentral:rRNA from 1 species